rnacentral:tRNA from 1 species
GGCGGGGUAGCUCAGUUGGUUAGAGCAGCGGAAUCAUAAUCCGCGUGUCGGGGGUUCGAGUCCCUCCCCCGCUA